GAGUGGAGACUGGAGUGCGCAAUCAGAGAGCGAGCAAGUUAGCGAAGAAGAAGAAGAAGAAGAAAAAAGAAGAAGAAGAGUUGUAGUAUGAGUAGCUCCGGCAAGACACCCACCCCCGCCGACCGGCCAGCCAAACCCCCCGCCCCCAAACCCUCAUGCGCAUCUUCCUACAGCCAUCUCCCGCCGAGGCGAGGGAAGAUUAUGGAAACCAUUGUCUCUGAUAUUUUCAAGGGCACUUCCAGUAGAUCUUCCACUACUUAAUUUUAUUUUUAUUUGUUGUUUGGGGGAAAGCAGGCGUGGGAAAACGUUCGGACGGAGGGGCGGCGCGAUCGCUUGGGCAAUCUUUGCAGUGCAGUGCAGUGCAGUGCAGAGCCUCAGAGAAUAUGCAGUGUAUGCUGAAUUCCAGAUUAUGAUGUGUAACACGUGUAUUAGACUACUUGCGUUUGUUAUUGGGUUACUUACUAGCCAAGUAAUAAUGAUAAUAUUGUUCAUACUUCUAUUUUACUUGAUUGUAGAGGAAUAAAUUGGGGAACCUUCAAAUUUGGCAA